GACGAACGCUGGCGGCGUGCCUAAUACAUGCAAGUUGAGCGCUGAAGGUUGGUACUUGUACCAACUGGAUGAGCAGCGAACGGGUGAGUAACGCGUGGGGAAUCUGCCUUUGAGCGGGGGACAACAUUUGGAAACGAAUGCUAAUACCGCAUAAAAACUUUAAACACAAGGUUUAAGUGUGAAAGAUGCAAUUGCAUCACUCAAAGAUGAUCCCGCGUUGUAUUAGCUAGUUGGUGAGGUAAAGGCUCACCAAGGCGAUGAUACAUAGCCGACCUGAGAGGGUGAUCGGCCGCCUUGGGACUGAGACACGGCCCAAACUCCUACGGGAGGCAGCAGUAGGGAAUCUUCGGCAAUGGACGAAAGUCUGACCGAGCAACGCCGCGUGAGUGAAGAAGGUUUUCGGAUCGUAAAACUCUGUUGGUAGAGAAGAACGUUGGUGAGAGUGGAAAGCUCAUCAAGUGACGGUAACUACCCAGAAAGGGACGGCUAACUACGUG
rnacentral:rRNA from 1 species